CUCCUGGGAAAUUUGAGGGCUGAGCGGCCCGGGCUGGGAGACAAUGUCCCUUUCACCCCAUCCAGCCCUGGGCAGAGCAGGACGUGAGAGCGGAAGUCCCUCCCCAUCCUGGGACGUGCAGGCCAGCCCUGCAGUCAGGGCCUCCCUUUCACUGGCUGCGCCCAGGGGAUGUUGGGGGCAGGGUGAGGUGUCCAUAAGAGGGAAAAGAUUGGGAGGUCUUGGACACAGGGUGGGGACAAGGGCCCCUAGCCCCUUCCCAGACGUGAUGUGGAGGAGGAAAUCCAUUCUUCUCCAAGACCAGUCCCUCAGAAGCUGGGGCUGGGCCAGCAGCUCCAGCUCACAGAUGCCGCGGAUCAGUUCUGCCUCGGUGUCAUCAGCAGUGGCCCCAACCAGCCCCAUCUCCUCCUCCAUGGUGGCCUCAGAGCUUGCAUCCUGAUGGGAAAGCAGCCAGGAAUCACGGCCGCAGCAAGGAGGCAGUCUCCCUCAGCACAUUCAACGGGAGAGAAGCAGAGACCCCCACCCAGGGAGGAAAGGUGAAGGAUCCGAAAGAAAGAAGCAAUCUGGGAAACGUCCUGGACACAAACCCAAAUGCCGGGGCGUGCCAUUCACCUUCUCUUUGGGAUCUUUUGCCUUAUGCUCCUGCUCUUCCUGAAGAACUCGGCGCCGACAGAGCUCUCCACUCACUGCCUGCUCCAGGUGCACCAGCUGCUGCAGAGCCACAUCCCCAGCCAGGGACAGCAGGUUCAUCAACAGGAAAGUGGGGAGCAUGGGGGUGUCCUCUGCAGGAGGUGGAGUGGGGAGGCAGGGAGAGACAGACAAUCAAGUCUCCCUGGAGCCUGCCCUGUUUGCACUGAUGGCCCCUUGCUCAUGUGCUCUACAACCCAGUGAAGAAGCAAGAGAAGAGGGUGAAGGAGAUGGUGGCAGGGACUGGCCCAGCCUGAGUGACAAAAAGGGACAGCGUGGGCUAAGGGGGUCAGGAUUCAUUAUAGGAAGUGGUGGUGGCAGUGGCUUCUUUUCUGCGGUAAAGCAGAAGCUGUUCACUGCCCAGGGGCCCAUGGACCCUUCGGCCCACUUACUCGGGGCCUCCUGGGGAGGGCUCUUCUCCUCCAGCUUCUCCAGGGCCUGCUUCGCACAGCCCUGCAACAUCUGGGCACAGAUUGCCUCAGGGCCCUCUGCCAGCUGGUAAAUGAGGGUCACUGCUGCCUCUUUGAAUGGGAUCCAGAGUGGGUCCGGGUGGACAAUACCUGCACAGGAGAAAGGACAAGUUGCCACGGCAGACAAAGGACCCAAUUCUGCCGAAGGCCCUUGACUGUAGCUCACCCUUUGUGACCAUCUCCCGCAGUCGCUCAAACAAGCAGUGUUCCUGCGGCAGCCGGAAGGGAGGGUGACGUUUGCCCAGCGAAGGCUGUGGAGAGUGGGGAGACACUGUGGGUGUGUGCUGAGAGUGAAUAAGAGGAUGCCCACUCUCUUUGGUUUAGACGUAACCACCCCACAUACCUUCCUCCUGUCAGAGAUGUUGGUGAUGGCAUGGCACACCUGUUGGGCCAGCCUGUAGUCUGGUGGAAACUUCUCAUCCAGCCCUAUGCUCACCAGAGUGUCUAAGUUGCUGCCCACAAUUUCUGGUUUUCCUCUAGGAGAAGGAAGCCAGAGUUAAAGCCACUCAUGGACAUGACUCUGUGUGGGGGACAAUGCUGGUAGGAACCAGCACCCAAUGCAGGGCUUCUAGAGCCUUGGAGCGCUCCAGCGAGGCUCUGACAUAGGGCUGGCUCCUCGGCAUCCCUCUUGCUCUACUUCUGCUGGGCGGGUGGAUUGGUACUGUCACCGUUUUAUUCUCCACUUAGUAGCUGACACAGGCACAGAACUCAGUUGGGCCUGACUGCUAUUACUGCCAUUACUGAAGGAACGGGAACCUUCCUUUCUUCUCUCAUCCCAUUGCCAGUCUGGAUCUGAGCCUCACCGUGCCAUCAUCCCAAGAAGCAUGACAGAGGAACAGCGCUCCAGAGGAGAGCAGGGGACCUUCUCGGUUGCCCGUUCCCACAGCACUUGGGUCACGGCUGGUUUCAAUUCAUCCUUCUGCACAAACUCACAGAGCUGAAGAGAAAAGAAUAAAGGCUCAAAUAAAAAAAUAAA